GUGACAGAUAUACCCAGCGGUGGAUUUGGAUGACUUUUUAUUGAUUUCCAGGCCUUUAUGGACUCAUCUUCCAUCUAUGGUGGCCUUGUACAAGCAUGGGGUGGAUAUAAGGUCUACAUAGUCGCCCCUGAGACACCAGAAGUCACAUCUCACUGGUGAAAGAUAAAGAGAGGAGGAAACAGAAAAACAGAACACAUGCUCAGCCAUCGCUCCUGUGCCUGCUGUGUACCCUGGUGACUUCCAGAAUCGAUGAAGAUGCCCAGCUGAGAGUUUAAGACCUAUAUUCUUAAUGGCUUGCCUGGUAGAAAUUUAUCCCAGUUGUCUCCAAAGUGGCAAAAGUGUGCCUACAGGGAGACAACAUGCAAGCAAAUAAAUACUGCUCACCUGUAUUCUUUACCUACUCUGCAAAAUAUUUUAAAACAAGAAUUAAGGGAGAGAGAAUUAAGGCGCUUGAGAGAAGACUUUGGAAGUGUGGACUUGAUGAGAAGAUCAUUUUGGGUCCACAAAAGAUGUCAAGGCCAUCAGAGUGGGAAGUAUUCAAUAGAGUAAACCACGCAGGAUCACAGCAUGUUCAAUCCUCACGUGACUUUCAUAAGCACUGUCUAGUUUAUCUGCUGUCCAUCCCAACAACAUAGCAUAUCAGACAUACUUGUUUUGUCUGAUAUUGCCAAUUUCCAUUAUGUUCUCUCUGAUUACAGGACCUCUUCCUUUGUCACCUUACAAAAGUCCUAACUGUCUCUAAAGAGCUCAGUUUGGAGUGCACACCUAUAACUCCAGCACUUGGGAGGAAGAGGCAGUUGACUCACAUCAAGUUCAAGAGCAGCCUUGGUAUAAAGGCACUGCAAAAUCAGAUGAUGAUAACCAUCGGGCCUCAUCCCGUCAGCUGGGUAGAUGACUUGUCUGAUUCCUCCCUGAGAUGCCCAAUCAAUUCAGCUGUUGUAAAAAGGAACAAUGGAACUGGGCUGAAACUUCCAGAACCUGAUGGAGUUCCAGCUGCUGAUUCCUCUGCAAACCUACUACAGGAGAACAAAGUCCCCCAGAUGUGCAGGCUUGGAAACAGCUAUGAGAUCUGCUCUUGGCAACUGGAGACUUUUUGGAAGUCUAGCAGAGCCCUUCAAACUGAAGAUCCAUUGGAAUGACCCAGCCUGGUUGUUGGAAUGCAUUAUUGCAUCUACAUUGCUGUCAUGCCUUCAGCAUUUCUUUGAUUCCGUGAAACUGGAGUUGGAGCAACCCUCAGGCGUUGAAGACACUAAACCUUCAAGAACACCUGGCAAAUCUUCCAGCCCAGCCUAGGCCUCCUGCGUCAGCUGAUGAUGCUCAUAGCUAGGCCACCUGCUUCAGCUGACGAUGCUCAUAGCUUGGCCUCCUGCUUCAGCUGAUGCUCGUAGCUCAUUCCUUUUAGCAUGACCUGUUUGCAGCAGGGGGGUCAAUAAUUGGAGGCAACCUUCCUACUAAAACUUUCCAUUCCUAGUACUCCUUUUUUUAGGAUGCAAGGAAACUGAUACUCAGAUAAAGCAGCUUGCAUAAGGAUUCACAGCUGAGAUUCAAGAUUUGGGGAUGCUUACAUCCUCCCUGCAUGGCAAUGUUCACUCCACUUUCAGUGAACCAGAGUGGUGCUUCAGUUCUGAAAGAUGGUCUCCUCCUAGAGAAUGUUAACUUUGACAAUGUAUUUUGCUUUGGGCUGUUUCCAGGUGACCUCUCCCAUGCUUAGCUCCCAAACAGAAGUCAGAGAGACCUCUUUUUUUUUUUUUUUUUUUUUUUGGGGGCUGUCACCUGACUUUGAGAGCAUCCCAGGACAGAGGCCAGAAGCAUCAUUCACACACUACUUAAGACAUGUUGCUGUGGGGUGGAUGGUAUCUUUUGGGGACGGAGCUCUCUCUAGUCAGCUCUUUAGGCCACUCUACGUAUGGUUAACUAGCUUCUUUCUCUGGAUGUUCUUUAUCCGUCUAACUUUCCCAGUGCUUUUGGCAGUGCCCCAGAGCAAAUUCAAGGCCAUCAAAUGUCUGCCACUAGGCUCUAUCAGGGACUCUUUUACGUCUGUUUUCCAUUAUCAUCUUACAUUGCCCAGGCUGGCUUCAAACACGGAAGCCUCCUUGCUUAACAUCCCCAGAAUUUGGGUUUGCAGAUGUGUCUGCAAAAUGGUGUUUUGCAGUCAGUCUGACUUUCCGUGUUCCCUUCCUGCUCCCCAUUAAUUGGGGCUCUCUUUCUCUCUUUAUUGUAGCUUGACAAGCUGUCUACAAUGGGAAUAUCACCUUCCUAUGUUUGCUCCUGCAUAUUAAUCCCCAUUCUUUAUUAUAGUAGACAGUGGUGAAAGACCAGACAAGAAUAAAAGCAAAAUCACAAUUUUGAUUAUACACACACACACACACCACACACACACACAAAACCACAGAUAACACAGGGGCUCAGCAUACUGGUGAAGAUGUGGACUUGCCCAGCUGACGCUGCCAUCUUCCUGAUGUUCUUUCUCUAUGUUCUAACACCUCUCCUGUUAAUCUAGAUGUAAGUGGGCUCCAGUUUCCACUAAAGGUACUGCUACUGGCUGAGGAGACCGCCCAGUGGGUAAAGCAUGUGGCAUGUAAGUGUGAAAACUCGAGUUCAAAUCCCCAGAACCCAUGUAAAACUGGGUAUAGUAGCCUGCAACUGUAAUCCUUGUGCUCCUACGGGGAGAUCUGAGGCAGGGGCAGAUGUAUCCCAGGAGCCUCUGAGUCUGUACCUGGUUUCCUGGCAUAUGCUACACAAAACAAAGAGACUCUGCCUAAAUCAAAAUGAGAAGGGAGAACUGACACGUGUGGUUGUCCUCUGACUUCUGAUCU